CUCUUGUCUUUCAACCCUUGCUCUUGCCUCGGCUUCGCCUUCCACCUUAUUAAGCUUUGGACUUCCACCUUCACUAACCCGUGGGACGGGACCGACCUUCUCUUUUGUUUGUAAUUGGACUUGCCCGAAACAAAGGAACCUUGGCGUGAGAACCCUCUAGAUUAGGGAGAUCCAAAUAAGAGCUUGUUGCAUAUGCGUAGGAAACCACCCCAUGCGGUGUGAGAAAAGCCCACUUGACUUCGGAAUGCCAACCUCCCUUAGCUUAGCCCUUUACGACCUUUUCCGCCUUCUCACUGCCAUUCAUCGGAUAAGACUACGUCACCUAAAUCAAGGUGUGAAACACCUUCUCACUGCCAUUCACCGGAUAAGACUACGUCACCUAAAUUGAGAAAAAAGAGGAAGACAUUUCUCAUUGUUGGCUAGCCUGGGCUCCACACCAGAUUUUAUCUGAGAUGGAGAGAAUUCUUUAGUAAAGGCAUGGCUUAAGACAAUUCGGGAUAGGAGGUUUUUCUACUACUAUUACAGCUCGUACAACCUUGAGGAAUCUAGACUAGUGUAAUAAGUUACUAGCCUCGUGCUACUCCUCCACAGAAGACUUUCUAGAAUAGCUACGACCUUUUCUCUUCAUUUUCCUUUGCCAAAUAAAUCCCACGUAUGAAGCUCUCGGAUUACGUACGAAUCAAUUAAACAAGCCAAACCAAAGGCUUUUUUCAAAAGCAUCAGUAGACGCAGAAAGAGAUCCUAUUCCCUAAGGCCUUUGUUAUCGCUUUAAACUUCCCUAUUUCCCAUAGGAAGCCCAUCUUCAAAGCUACUUUCUCAACAAGCUCUAGCUCUAGGGCUUUGUAAAAACUCUCUUCUUUAUCAUACGAUACGAGGCAUCCAAAUCUGCAUUCCCAUC
rnacentral:lncRNA from 1 species